rnacentral:rRNA from 1 species
GGGGGAACCCUGCUGCANCAACGCCGCGUGAGUGAUGACGGCCUUCGGCUUGUAAAGCUCUGUCUUCAGGGACGAUAAUGACGGCACCUGAGGAGGAAGCCACGGCUAACUACGUGCCAGCAGCCGCGGUAAUACGUAGGUGGCGAGCGUUGUCCGGAUUUACUGGGCGUAAAGGGAGCGUAGGCGGACUUUUAAGUGAGAUGUGAAAUACCCGGGCUCAACUUGGGUGCUGCAUUUCAAACUGGCAAGUCUAGAGUGCAGGAGAGGAGAAUGGCAAUUCCUAGUGUAGCGGUGAAAUGCGUAGAGNAUUAGGUAAGAAACACCAGUGGCCGAAGGCGCAUUCUCUGGACUGUAACUGGACGCUGAGGCUCGAAAGCGUGGGGUAGCAAACAGGAUUAGAUACCCUGGNUAGUCCACGCCGUAAACGAUGAAUACUAGGUGUAGGGGUUGUCAUGACCUCUGUGCCGCCGCUUAACGCAUUAAGUAUUCCGCCUGGGGANGUACGGUCGCAAGAUUANAACUCAAAGGAAUUGACGGGGNGCCCGCACAAGCAGCGGAGCAUGUGGUUUAAUUCUAAGCAACGCGAAGAACCUUACCUAGACUUUGACAUCUCCUGCAUUCCCUUAAUCGGGGGAANUUCCUUUCGGGGACAGGAANACAG